UGCCCUAGUAACGGCGAGCGAAGCGGCAACAGCUCAAAUUUGAAAUCUGGUCUUCUGGGCCCGAGUUGUAAUUUGCAGAGGAUGCUUCUGGCAAGGUGCCUUCCGAGUUCCCUGGAACGGGACGCCAUAGAGGGUGAGAGCCCCGUACGGUUGGACACCGAGCCGUUGUGUAGCUCCUUCAACGAGUCGAGUAGUUUGGGAAUGCUGCUCUAAAUGGGAGGUAUAUCUCUUCUAAAGCUAAAUACCGGCCAGAGACCGAUAGCGCACAAGUAGAGUGAUCGAAAGAUGAAAAGCACUUUGAAAAGAGAGUUAAACAGCACGUGAAAUUGUUGAAAGGGAAGCGCUUGUGACCAGACUUGUGCCCGGUGAAUUAGCUGGUGUUCUCACCAGUCGACUUUGCCGGCUCAGGCCAGCAUCGGUUUGUUAUUGGGGAGAAAAACGAUGGGAAUGUGGCUCCUUCGGGAGUGUUAUAGCCCGCCGUAUAAUACCCUUUGGCAGACCGAGGACCGCGCAUCUGCAUGGAUGCUGGCGUAAUGGUCACCAGCGACCCGUCUUGAAACACGGACCAAGGAGUCAACCUUAUGUGCAAGUGUUUGGGUGUUAAACCCCUACGCGGAAUUAACGUGAACGUAGGUGAGAGCCUUCGGGCGCAUCAUCGACCGAUUCUGAUGUUCUCGGAUGGAUUUGAGUAAGAGCACACAGGGUUGGACCCGAAAGAAGGUGAACUAUGCUUUGUAUAGGGUGAAGCCAGAGGAAACUCUGGUGGAGGCUCGCAGCGGGUUCUGACGUGCAAAUCGAUCGUCAAAUAUGAGCAUGGGGGCGAAAG
rnacentral:rRNA from 1 species